CCCCACUGCUAUCGGGAUGGGACUAAGACAUGCUAGUCGAGCGUCUCCAAGCUAUGGAAGAGACGCGGCACACAGCUCAGUAACACGUGGCUAACCUGCCCUUGGGACAAGGACAACUCCGGGAAACUGGGGCUAAUCCCUGAUAGGUGAGAACUCCUGGAAUGGAUUCUCGCUGAAAGGACGUUUAGACCAUGCUUCUAGGCGUCGCCCAAGGAGGGGGCCGCGACCGAUCAGGUUGUUGGUGAGGUAACGGCUCACCAAGCCUUUAACCGGUACGGGCCGUGAGAGCGGAAGCCCGGAGAUGGGCACUGAGACAAGGGCCCAGGCCCUACGGGGCGCAGCAGUCGCGAAAACUCCGCAAUACACGAAAGUGUGACGGGGCUAUCCCGAGUGCCAUCCGCUGAGGAUGGCUUUUCCCCAGUGUAUAAAGCUGGGGGAAUAAGGAGAGGGCAAGCCUGGUGUCAGCCGCCGCGGUAAUACCAGCUCUCCGAGUGGUGGGGAUGUUUAUUGGGCCUAAAGCAUUCGUAGCCUGCUUGGCAAGUCCUCCGUUAAAUCCAACGAUUCAAUCGUUGGGCUGCGGGAGAUACUGUUGGGCUAGGAGGCGGGAGAAGCCGACGGUAUUCUCGGGGUAGGGGUGAAAUCCUGUAAUCCCGGGAGGACCACCAGUGGCGAAGGCGGUCGGCUAGAACGCGCUCGACGGUGAGGGACGAAAGCUGGGGGAGCGAACCGGAUUAGAAACCCGGGUAGUCCCAGCUGUAAACGAUGCGGGCUAGGUGUUGGGGUGGCCACGAGCCACUUCAGUGCCGCAUGGAAGCAAUUAAGCCCGCCGCCUGGGGAGUACGGCCGCAAGGCUGAAACUUAAAGGAAUUGGCGGGGGAGCACCACAAGGCGUGAAGCUUGCGGUUU
rnacentral:rRNA from 1 species